rnacentral:rRNA from 1 species
AAUAUUGCGCAAUGGAGGAAACUCUGACGCAGCGACGCCGCGUGAGCGAUGAAGGUCNNNGGUUCNUCAAGCUCUGUCCUUGGNGAGNAAGGUCUUAGGACUCGAGGGUACCCAUGGAGGCAGCCCCGGCUAACUAAGCUCCAGCAGACGCGGUAAUACGUCGGGGGCAAGCGUUGUCCGGAAUUAUUGGGCGUAACGGGUGCGUAGGCGGCCUUUUAAGUCAGUAGUGAAAGCCCACGGCUCAACCGUGGGAUUGAAUGUGAAACUGGAGGGCUUGAGUAUCGGAGAGGGUAGUGGAAUUCCCAGUGUAGCGGUGAAAUGCGUAGAUAUUGGGAGGAACACCAGUGGCGAAGGCGACUACCUGGACGAUUACUGACGCUGAUGCACGAAAGCUAGGGGAGCAAACA